UUUGUGGAGGGUUUGAUUCUGGCUCAGGACGAACGCUGGCGGCGUGCUUAACACAUGCAAGUCGAACGGGAUCCUGCUUGGUUUUUGCUGGGUGGGUGAGAGUGGCGAACGGGUGAGUAAUGCGUGACUAACCUGCCGUGUAGUUGGGUAUAGCUCCUGGAAAC
rfam:Scardovia inopinata F0304 genomic scaffold supercont1.1, whole genome shotgun sequence.